rnacentral:pre_miRNA from 1 species
GGCCCAAACCUGAAGUAAGGUAGAUUAGUAAGGUCAGCUGAUCCUACUAAUCUACUGUACUUCGGAAAUGGGCCC